AUUGAACGCUGGCGGCAUGCCUUACACAUGCAAGCCGAACGGCAGCACGGGAGCAAUCCUGGUGGCGAGUGGCGAACGGGUGAGUAAAGUAUCGGAACGUGCCCAGUCGUGGGGGAUAACGUAGCGAAAGUUACGCCAAUACCGCAUACGAUCUAUGGAUGAAAGCGGGGGAUCGCAAGACCUCGCGCGAUUGGAGCGGCCGAUAUCAGAUUAGGUAGUUGGAGGGGGAAAGGCUCACCGAGCCGACGAUCUGUAGCUGGUCUGAGAGGACGGCCAGCCCCACUGGGACUGGGACACGGCCCAGACUCCUACGGGAGGCAGCAGUGGGGAAUUUUGGACAAUGGGCGAAAGCCUGAUCCAGCCAUGCCGCGUGCAGGAUGAAGGCCUUCGGGUUGUAAACUGCUUUUGUACGGAACGAAAAGGUUUGGGCUAAUAAGCUGAGCUCAUGACGGUACCGUAAGAAUAAGCACCGGCUAACUACGUGCCAGCCGGCGCCGUAA
rnacentral:rRNA from 1 species